GAGGAUGUAGCUCAGUGAUAGAGUACUUGCCUAGCAUGCAUGAGACCAUGGGUUCAAUUUCAAGAACCUCA
rnacentral:tRNA from 1 species